rnacentral:rRNA from 1 species
GAUGAACGCUGACAGAAUGCUUAACACAUGCAAGUCUUUGGCGAAUCUGUGCUUGCACAGGCUAGCCAAGGCGGACGGGUGAGUAACGCGUAAAGAACUUGCCCUGCAGACAGGGAUAACAGACGGAAACGACUGAUAACACCUGAUACAGUUGCCGGCACGCAUGUGCCUGGCAAUGAAAAGAGAUGCUGCAGGAGAGCUUUGCGUCCUAUUAGCUUGUUGGUGAGGUGACGGCUCACCAAGGCGAUGAUAGGUAGCCGGCCUGAGAGGGUGAACGGCCACAAGGGGACUGAGAUACGGCCCUGACUCCUACGGGAGGCAGCAGUGGGGAAUAUUGGACAAUGGGGGCAACCCUGAUCCAGCAAUUCUGUGUGCACGAAGAAGGUUUUCGGAUUGUAAAGUGCUUUCAGCAGGGAAGAAGAAAGUGACGGUACCUGCAGAAGAAGCGACGGCUAAAUACGUG